rnacentral:rRNA from 1 species
UACACUCCUGCGGGAGGCAGCAGUGGGGAAUUUUGGACAAUGGGCGAAAGCCUGAUCCAGCAAUGCCGCGUGAGUGAAGAAGGCCUUCGGGUUGUAAAGCUCUUUUGUCAGGGAAGAAACGGUGAAAGCUAAUAUCUUUUGCUAAUGACGGUACCUGAAGAAUAAGCACCGGCUAACUACGUGCCAGCAGCCGCGGUAAUACGUAGGGUGCAAGCGUUAAUCGGAAUUACUGGGCGUAAAGCGUGCGCAGGCGGUUUUGUAAGUCUGAUGUGAAAUCCCCGGGCUCAACCUGGGAAUUGCAUUGGAGACUGCAAGGCUGGAAUCUGGCAGAGGGGGGUAGAAUUCCACGUGUAGCAGUGAAAUGCGUAGAUAUGUGGAGGAACACCGAUGGCGAAGGCAGCCCCCUGGGUCAAGAUUGACGCUCAUGCACGAAAGCGUGGGGAGCAAACAGGAUUAGAAACCCGGGUAGUCCCA